GGUUAAGCGACUAAGCGUACACGGUGGAUGCCCUGGCAGUCAGAGGCGAUGAAGGACGUGCUAAUCUGCGAUAAGCGUCGGUAAGGUGAUAUGAACCGUUAUAACCGGCGAUUUCCGAAUGGGGAAACCCAGUGUGAUUCGUCACACUAUCAUUAACUGAAUCCAUAGGUUAAUGAGGCGAACCGGGGGAACUGAAACAUCUAAGUACCCCGAGGAAAAGAAAUCAACCGAGAUUCCCCCAGUAGCGGCGAGCGAACGGGGAGCAGCCCAGAGCCUGAAUCAGUGUGUGUGUUAGUGGAAGCGUCUGGAAAGGCGCGCGAUACAGGGUGACAGCCCCGUACACAAAAAUGCACAUGCUGUGAGCUCGAUGAGUAGGGCGGGACACGUGGUAUCCUGUCUGAAUAUGGGGGGACCAUCCUCCAAGGCUAAAUACUCCUGACUGACCGAUAGUGAACCAGUACCGUGAGGGAAAGGCGAAAAGAACCCCGGCGAGGGGAGUGAAAAAGAACCUGAAACCGUGUACGUACAAGCAGUGGGAGCACGCUUAGGCGUGUGACUGCGUACCUUUUGUAUAAUGGGUCAGCGACUUAUAUUCUGUAGCAAGGUUAACCGAAUAGGGGAGCCGAAGGGAAACCGAGUCUUAACUGGGCGUUAAGUUGCAGGGUAUAGACCCGAAACCCGGUGAUCUAGCCAUGGGCAGGUUGAAGGUUGGGUAACACUAACUGGAGGACCGAACCGACUAAUGUUGAAAAAUUAGCGGAUGACUUGUGGCUGGGGGUGAAAGGCCAAUCAAACCGGGAGAUAGCUGGUUCUCCCCGAAAGCUAUUUAGGUAGCGCCUCGUGAAUUCAUCUCCGGGGGUAGAGCACUGUUUCGGCAAGGGGGUCAUCCCGACUUACCAACCCGAUGCAAACUGCGAAUACCGGAGAAUGUUAUCACGGGAGACACACGGCGGGUGCUAACGUCCGUCGUGAAGAGGGAAACAACCCAGACCGCCAGCUAAGGUCCCAAAGUCAUGGUUAAGUGGGAAACGAUGUGGGAAGGCCCAGACAGCCAGGAUGUUGGCUUAGAAGCAGCCAUCAUUUAAAGAAAGCGUAAUAGCUCACUGGUCGAGUCGGCCUGCGCGGAAGAUGUAACGGGGCUAAACCAUGCACCGAAGCUGCGGCAGCGACGCUUAUGCGUUGUUGGGUAGGGGAGCGUUCUGUAAGCCUGCGAAGGUGUGCUGUGAGGCAUGCUGGAGGUAUCAGAAGUGCGAAUGCUGACAUAAGUAACGAUAAAGCGGGUGAAAAGCCCGCUCGCCGGAAGACCAAGGGUUCCUGUCCAACGUUAAUCGGGGCAGGGUGAGUCGACCCCUAAGGCGAGGCCGAAAGGCGUAGUCGAUGGGAAACAGGUUAAUAUUCCUGUACUUGGUGUUACUGCGAAGGGGGGACGGAGAAGGCUAUGUUGGCCGGGCGACGGUUGUCCCGGUUUAAGCGUGUAGGCUGGUUUUCCAGGCAAAUCCGGAAAAUCAAGGCUGAGGCGUGAUGACGAGGCACUACGGUGCUGAAGCAACAAAUGCCCUGCUUCCAGGAAAAGCCUCUAAGCAUCAGGUAACAUCAAAUCGUACCCCAAACCGACACAGGUGGUCAGGUAGAGAAUACCAAGGCGCUUGAGAGAACUCGGGUGAAGGAACUAGGCAAAAUGGUGCCGUAACUUCGGGAGAAGGCACGCUGAUAUGUAGGUGAAGUCCCUCGCGGAUGGAGCUGAAAUCAGUCGAAGAUACCAGCUGGCUGCAACUGUUUAUUAAAAACACAGCACUGUGCAAACACGAAAGUGGACGUAUACGGUGUGACGCCUGCCCGGUGCCGGAAGGUUAAUUGAUGGGGUUAGCCGCAAGGCGAAGCUCUUGAUCGAAGCCCCGGUAAACGGCGGCCGUAACUAUAACGGUCCUAAGGUAGCGAAAUUCCUUGUCGGGUAAGUUCCGACCUGCACGAAUGGCGUAAUGAUGGCCAGGCUGUCUCCACCCGAGACUCAGUGAAAUUGAACUCGCUGUGAAGAUGCAGUGUACCCGCGGCAAGACGGAAAGACCCCGUGAACCUUUACUAUAGCUUGACACUGAACAUUGAGCCUUGAUGUGUAGGAUAGGUGGGAGGCUUAGAAGUGUGGACGCCAGUCUGCAUGGAGCCGACCUUGAAAUACCACCCUUUAAUGUUUGAUGUUCUAACGUUGACCCGUAAUCCGGGUUGCGGACAGUGUCUGGUGGGUAGUUUGACUGGGGCGGUCUCCUCCUAAAGAGUAACGGAGGAGCACGAAGGUUGGCUAAUCCUGGUCGGACAUCAGGAGGUUAGUGCAAUGGCAUAAGCCAGCUUGACUGCGAGCGUGACGGCGCGAGCAGGUGCGAAAGCAGGUCAUAGUGAUCCGGUGGUUCUGAAUGGAAGGGCCAUCGCUCAACGGAUAAAAGGUACUCCGGGGAUAACAGGCUGAUACCGCCCAAGAGUUCAUAUCGACGGCGGUGUUUGGCACCUCGAUGUCGGCUCAUCACAUCCUGGGGCUGAAGUAGGUCCCAAGGGUAUGGCUGUUCGCCAUUUAAAGUGGUACGCGAGCUGGGUUUAGAACGUCGUGAGACAGUUCGGUCCCUAUCUGCCGUGGGCGCUGGAGAACUGAGGGGGGCUGCUCCUAGUACGAGAGGACCGGAGUGGACGCAUCACUGGUGUUCGGGUUGUCAUGCCAAUGGCACUGCCCGGUAGCUAAAUGCGGAAGAGAUAAGUGCUGAAAGCAUCUAAGCACGAAACUUGCCCCGAGAUGAGUUCUCCCUGACUCCUUGAGAGUCCUGAAGGAACGUUGAAGACGACGACGUUGAUAGGCCGGGUGUGUAAGCGCAGCGAUGCGUUGAGCUAACCGGUACUAAUGAACCGUGAGGCUUAACCUU
rnacentral:rRNA from 1 species